GACGGACUCGGAAGGAAGGGGUCCCAGAGAGGACGCGGGCGGCUGCAGGACACAAGAGGUGCGGGACGCAGGAGGCCGUGGGGUCGUGCGGGAGCCCAGGGCACCUCGACAUGGACCCGCCAGACCUGUGGCUCCUCCAGCGGCCGCUUUAGAGCGAGAGGAGGUGCGCAGGCCGUGAGGCGGGUCUCCCUGGGGUCUCCCAGGGAGGAGCGGCGCCCUCCCCGAGCCAGCCGAGGACGCGCAGCCAGAGGGGGGUCGGGCGGAGAGAAGAGUGCGGGCGGACCGGGACGACCCCUGGGUGAUAGGAGAGCCGCAGUGAGCCCAGGGCACGGUGCUGGGGCCGCUCUGGCCGCCGCCGCCAAGCGUCACAGGAAAACAGCAACCAGGACCCCGCGGCUCCUGGCGCUUGGACUCAGCCCGGUACCGCACCGCGUUGCUGGAGAAU
rnacentral:lncRNA from 1 species